GACGCUGGCGGCGUGCCUAACACAUGCAAGUCGAGCGGGGAGGAGGAAGCUUGCUUCCGAAUCCUAGCGGCGGACGGUGAGUAACGCGUGAGCAACCUGCCUUGAACUGGGGGAUAACGCAUCGAAAGAUGUGCUAAUACCGCGUAAGACCACAGUACCGCAUGGUACAGGGGUCAAAGGAGCAAUCCGGUUUAAGAUGGGCUCGCGUCCGAUUAGCUAGUUGGUGAGAUAACAGCCCACCAAGGCAACGAUCGGUAGCCGACCUGAGAGGGUGAUCGGCCACAUUGGAACUGAGACACGGUCCAGACUCCUACGGGAGGCAGCAGUGGGGAAUAUUGGGCAAUGGGCGAAAGCCUGACCCAGCAACGCCGCGUGAGGGAAGAAGGGUUUCGGCUCGUAAACCUCUGUCCUAUGGGACGAAGAAGUGACGGUACCAUAGGAGGAAGCCCCGGCUAACUACGUG
rnacentral:rRNA from 1 species